rnacentral:rRNA from 1 species
CGAUUUACUUCGGUAAAGAGCGGCGGACGGGUGAGUAACGCGUGGGUAACCUACCCUGUACACACGGAUAACAUACCGAAAGGUAUGCUAAUACGGGAUAAUAUAUUUGAGAGGCAUCUCUUAAAUAUCAAAGGUGAGCCAGUACAGGAUGGACCCGCGUCUGAUUAGCUAGUUGGUAAGGUAACGGCUUACCAAGGCGACGAUCAGUAGCCGACCUGAGAGGGUGAUCGGCCACAUUGGAACUGAGACACGGUCCAAACUCCUACGGAAGGCAGCAGUGGGGAAUAUUGCACAAUGGGCGAAAGCCUGAUGCAGCAACGCCGCGUGAGUGAUGAAGGCCUUCGGGUCGUAAAACUCUGUCCUCAAGGAAGAUAAUGACGGUACUUGAGGAGGAAGCCCCGGCUAACUACGUGCCAGCAGCCGCGGUAAUACGUAGGGGGCUAGCGUUAUCCGGAUUUACUGGGCGUAAAGGGUGCGUAGGCGGUCUUUCAAGUCAGGAGUGAAAGGCUACGGCUCAACCGUAGUAAGCUCUUGAAACUGGG